UAGUUAGAAUCUACCUCACACAAAAAUAUGUUGAAUAACUUGCAGCAUAGCUAGAGAGCUUGAUUUGGAGGAAUGGACUUCCAGGACUGAAACUGCUAAUGUGCUGCAUGAGCCAAGCAACAUCAUGAGGAGGUUUGCCUUGGAAACCUGAGGAGAUUUCAAUUUAGAGAGCUUCAGAUGGCAACAAACAACUUCAGCAGCAAGUACUUGGUUGGAUGAUGAAUUGAAGGAUGGAGCAAGUUUCAUGCAUGAUUUACUUUUGUGUAUCUUGUAAUGUUUCUGUUUUUCAUUUUUAAAGUAAAAAAUGUUCAAGAUUAUAAAACUUUAUUAUGUUAUGCUUUCAAAUUUAAGUUAGAACUAAGAUCUCAUGAAGUAGACAUAUUCAUGGUUUGAAUUAGUUAUUGUUUAAUGUAAUACUUGUGGUUUAUCAAUCUAUUGAGAAUUACAUUU